rnacentral:rRNA from 1 species
UACAGAGGUCUCAAGCGUUGUUCGGAUUCAUUGGGCGUAAAGGGUGCGUAGGCGGCGCGGUAAGUCGGGUGUGAAAUCUUGGAGCUUAACUCCGAAACUGCAUUCGAUACUGCCGUGCUUGAGGACUGGAGAGGAGACUGGAAUUUACGGUGUAGCGGUGAAAUGCGCAGAUAUCAGGAGGAACACCGGUGGCGAAGGCGGAUCUCUGGGCCAUUACUGACGCUGAGGAGCGAAAGCGUGGGGAGCGAACAGG